rnacentral:rRNA from 1 species
GACGAACGCUGGCGGCGUGCUUAACACAUGCAAGUCGAACGGAAAGGCCCUGCUUUUGUGGGGUGCUCGAGUGGCGAACGGGUGAGUAACACGUGAGUAACCUGCCCUUGACUUUGGGAUAACUUCAGGAAACUGGGGCUAAUACCGGAUAGGAGCUCCUGCUGCAUGGUGGGGGUUGGAAAGUUUCGGCGGUUGGGGAUGGACUCGCGGCUUAUCAGCUUGUUGGUGGGGUAGUGGCUUACCAAGGCUUUGACGGGUAGCCGGCCUGAGAGGGUGACCGGCCACAUUGGGACUGAGAUACGGCCCAGACUCCUACGGGAGGCAGCAGUGGGGAAUAUUGCACAAUGGGCGGAAGCCUGAUGCAGCAACGCCGCGUGCGGGAUGACGGCCUUAGGGUUGUAAACCGUUUUCGCCUGUGACGAAGCGUGAGUGACGGUAAUGGGUAAAGAAGCACCGGCUAACUACGUG